rnacentral:rRNA from 1 species
GAUGAACGCUGGCGGCGUGCUUAACACAUGCAAGUCGAGCGAGAAAAGUUCUUCGGAGCUUUUCUAGCGGCGGACGGGUGAGUAACACGUGGGCAACCUGCCUCAUAGAGGGGAAUAGCCUUCCGAAAGGAAGAUUAAUACCGCAUAAUGUUGUUGAAAGGCAUCCUUUAACAAUUAAAGGAGCAAUCCGCUAUGAGAUGGGCCUGCGGCGCAUUAGUUAGUUGGUGAGGUAACGGCUCACCAAGGCGACGAUGCGUAGCCGACCUGAGAGGGUGAUCGGCCACAUUGGAACUGAGAUACGGUCCAGACUCCUACGGGAGGCAGCAGUGGGGAAUAUUGCACAAUGGGGGAAACCCUGAUGCAGCAACGCCGCGUGAGUGAUGAAGGUCUUCGGAUUGUAAAGCUCUGUCUUUAGGGACGAUAAUGACGGUACCUAAGGAGGAAGCCACGGCUAACUACGUGCCAGCAGCAGCCGCGGUAA